AGCCACCGCAAGGUACCAGAGAGCCGCCCAAUCUGCGCUGGCCUCCUUUAUCUGUUUGCUGUGUGACCCUCCGGACAGCUCUGUGGGACCUGGAGGAAACUGUGAGCCCUACAGAUAAAGUCUGUGCUUCCAGCGUCGGUAAAUCCCAGCAAGCGCCACUACCUGGAGGCUGACACUUUCCCAUCUUGGCAGUCAGCUCCCUACAGAGGUGCUUCUCCCACUGCCCAAGAUCCCUGCCUCCUCCUUAAACCCCAACUGAUAGAACAGAAACCACCACCUAAGGAACGUGAAGGGGAAGCAUCUGAAACACCAGAAGAUCUUGGAUUGUUCCUGAGGACUUCAGAAUCUACAGGGACAAAAGGCAGAAGCAGGAAGUCCGAAGUAAAGAUGACUAAGAAAAGGCGGGUGGAAAAGAUUUCUGUGAAAGUGUCAGAGGCAAAGCUCUGAAAGACCUGAAACUCAUGCCGAAAGCAAAGAACAGCAAAAAGACAGUAGGGAUGUGUCUGGAGCAACAAGGAUCGGGCUGUUCCUGGGGCAGCCGAAUUCACAGCUCUGUUUUACUCCUAAUGGAGGAUCUUCCUGCUGCAGCGGCGAGUAGACCUUACUGUAAAGGUGCAGGCAAGGGGAGGGGAAGGGCAGGCAGCUGCCCAUUGGAGUUCACAUCUCCAAGCCUGAGAAAAUGUGUUCCUGGAUGCCCCAAGCCAAUGGAAAAGCAGAAUCAUUGACUAUGUUUGACUCCUUCUGGUACCUAGCACAGUAUCUGGGACACAGCAGGUGCUAUGUAAAUGUGUUGAGUGAAUGAAUGAAUGAAUGCCAUUGAGGAGAAUGAAUAACCCCAGAAAACUAGACAUGGGUAGAUGUUGUCCUAAUUUCAAAAGAGGGGAAAAUGAGAGUGAGAGUUUCAUAAAUGACAAUCUCUAAACGAUGUUGCUCUCUAGCAAAAUUCUAGAAUGGAUUAUUUUAAGAACAAAGCAGGUAAACAUUGGCAGCCAACUUGAAAUUAAUAAGAAAAAGGUGUGCGCCAGAAUAGUUUUAUUUCCUUUUGUUUUUCAUUGUACAGCUUGAUUUGACUAAGUUGUUUAUACCUUUCACUCUGCCUUUGCAUGCACUGGGGGUGAUCUAGUCUACUAUGUGGACUGGAAGUCCACCCAGUGGCCAGGCUCAGAGGCAGGGAAGGGGGGUUGGUGCCAUUCUGGGAGAGGAGGUUUCUGGGGCUGUUUCUCAGCCAGAUCCUGUCUCAUCUGUUUCCAACAACCCCACAAAUGAAGACACUGAAGCUGACUAAUCAAAUUGACUGAUGCCCCAAUAGGUGUCAUGAUAUGCAGUGAGAAUCCGGCAGGCAUUAGAGAUGAACAGCACGGGCUGCAGCCACAUUAUCUCAGCUUGAGUCCUAGUUUUCACCAGCUACUAGCUAGCUAUCUCUGGUCAAGUCACUUACCUUGCUUGAGCCUCAGUUUCUCCAUCUAGAAAAUGGUCAUAAUCGAAGUAUCUAUCUUAUAGGGUGUUGGGAAGAUUAACUGAGAAGCCACAUAGAGUUUACUGGCACAUUAAAAAAAGAAACUAUAAGAAUGUUAGCUGUCCUUUUGCACGGCAAAAGGAACAGUAAGCAGAGUAAACAGACAACCCACAGAGUGGGAGAAAAUCUUCCCAAUCUAUACAUCCGACAAAGGACUAACAUCCAGAAUCUACGAGGAACUCAAAUUAGCAAGAAAAAAACAAUCCCAUCAAAAACUGGCCUAAGGACAUGAAUAGACAAUUCUCAAAAGAAGAUAUACAAAUGGCCAACAAACAUAUGAAAAAGUGCUCAAUAUCACUAAUGAUCAGGGAAAUGCAAAUCAAAACCACAAUGCAAUACCACAUUACUCCUGCAAGAAUGGCCAUAAUAAAAAAAAAAUCAAAAAAAUAA
ensembl:lncRNA GHET1 gastric carcinoma proliferation enhancing transcript 1